rnacentral:rRNA from 1 species
GGAAUCUUGCGCAAUGGGCGAAAGCCUGACGCAGCGACGCCGCGUGAGCGAUGAAGGCCUUCGGGUUGUAAAGCUCUGUGGGGAGAGAAGAAUAAGGGCAAGUUAAUACCUUGUCCGAUGACGGUACCUCCUUAGAAAGAACCGGCUAACUCGGAGCCAGCAGCCGCGGUGAGACAGAGGGUGCAAACGUUGUUCGGAAUUACUGGGCGUAAAGCGCGUGUAGGCGGCCAUGCAAGUCGGGCGUGAAAGCCCACGGCUCAACCGUGGAAGUGCACUCGAAACUGCGUGGCUAGAGUCCUGGAGAGGAAGGUGGAAUACUUGGUGUAGAGGUGAAAUUCGUAGAUAUCAAGUGGAACACCGGUGGCGAAGGCGGCCUUCUGGACAGUGACUGACGCUGAGACGCGAAAGCGUGGGGAGCAAAC